ensembl:lncRNA novel transcript
CUGCUUUCUGUGCUGUUCUCAACACCAGGGUCCUUUCCUCCAGAAGUGGGACCUCUUAAGUGUGAGAAAAGAACUUGUUCUUUUAAGAUGGUACCUGAAUGACUUUUGAAAUUUAAUUAGAACCUGUAGUUUUUCAAAGCCUCCUGUUAUAGACCGAAUGGUACCCUCCUACAUUCAUAUACCGAAGCCCUGACCCUGGCGUGGCUGCAUUUGGAGAUAGGGUCUCUAAGGAGGUGAUUGAGGUUAAAUGAAACCAUAAGAAUGGAGCUCCAAUCCAGUAGUGCUGGUGUCCUUGCAAAGAAGAGGAAGAGGCAUCAGAGAUGCACAAGCAUGGAGAAAAGGCCAUGUGAGGACACAGCAAGAAGGUGGCUGUCUGCAAACCUGGAAGAGUGUCCUCACUAGAAGCCAUCCAUGCUAGCACCUUGAACUCCAGAACCAUGAGAAAAUAAAUUUCUGUUUUUAAGCCA